GACGAACGCUGGCGGCGUGCUUAACACAUGCAAGUCGAACGGGAUUUAGUAAACAGAAGCCUCGGUGGAAGAUUACUAAUGAGAGUGGCGAACGGGUGAGUAACGCGUGAGCAACCUGCCUAUGACAGUGGGAUAGCCUCGGGAAACCGGGAUUAAUACCGCAUAAAAUCGUAGAAACACAUGUUUCAACGGUCAAAGAUUUAUCGGUCAUAGAUGGGCUCGCGUCUGAUUAGCUAGUUGGUGAGAUAACAGCCCACCAAGGCGACGAUCAGUAGCCGGUCUGAGAGGAUGAACGGCCACAUUGGAACUGAGGCACGGUCCAAACUCCUACGGGAGGCAGCAGUGGGGAAUAUUGCACAAUGGGGGAAACCCUGAUGCAGCGACGCCGCGUGAACGAAGAAGGUAUUCGUAUCGUAAAGUUCUGUCCUAUGGGAAGAUAAUGACAGUACCAUA
rnacentral:rRNA from 1 species